rnacentral:rRNA from 1 species
CAGCCGCCGCGGUAAUACCGGCGGCCCGAGUGGCGGCCACUCUUAUUGGGCCUAAAGCGUCCGUAGCCGGGCUGGUAAGUCCUCCGGGAAAUCUGGUCGCUUAACGAUCAGACUUCCGGAGGAUACUGCUGGCCUAGGGAGCGGGAGAGGCCGAGGGUAUUCCCGGAGUAGGGGUGAAAUCCUAUAAUCCCGGGAGGACCACCUGUGGCGAAGGCGCUCGGCUGGAACGCGUCCGACGGUGAGGGACGAAGGCCAGGGGAGCAAACCGGAUUAGAUACCCGGGUAGUCCUGGCUGUAAACGAUGCGGACUUUGUGUCGGACAAGCUAUGAGCUUGUCCGGUGCCGGAGGGAAACCGUUAAGUCCGCCGCCUGGGGAGUACGGCCGCAAGGCUGAAACUUAAAGGAAUUGGCGGG